AUUUCUGUAUUAGUUAAGUUAGAUGAUAUAAUUAUUUUUUAAAAUAGAAAAAGUUGAUCUUUAUUACAUGGGAGUUUCUCUUGCACCUUCAAGUCUUUCUUCUUGCAUCUCUAAAUUUCUAGUAAAUGUCAACAUUAACCUUCUAACAUAAGAUAAAAAGUUUUUCACUUUUAUCUAUGCUAGGUAAAAUGUUUUUCACUCACUUGUUCUCUCUGUUAUUAAAGUGCACAUGACAAACACACA
rnacentral:lncRNA from 1 species